rnacentral:sRNA from 1 species
GGACAGUGUCACAUAGAGUGCUAUGGGGGUGGCACCCCCUGAAGUUCAACAGCAUGGAAGCCCUGACUGGUAUGACAUGGUUCAAUGUCCAGAGUUUAAUUUUAAGAAUCAACAACUAGACAAAGUAAUGAUAUUGACUCAAACUUACUAUUCAAACCAACCUUUUAUUCCUUAGGCUUGUGUAGCCUGCCCUCAGAGAGAACUAUGAUGAUGGACAUUAUCAAAAGGAAUGAAAAAAGAAUUGACCUGUUUGGAGAAAGCCAGAGCCAGACGUUGCAGACCAAUUAUGUUGACUACUUGGACGAGCUCGCCUUAGAGAUAGGUGCGAAGCCAGAUUUCUGCUCUCUCUUGUUCAAAGAUCCUAAACUGGCUGUGAGACUCUAUUUCGGACCCUGCAACUCCUAUCAGUAUCGCCUGGUUGGGCCUGGGCAAUGGGAAGGAGCCAGAAAUGCCAUCUUCACCCAGAAACAAAGAAUACUGAAGCCACUCAAGACUCGGGCCCUGAAGGAUUCAUCUAAUUUCUCCGUUUCUUUUCUGUUGAAAAUCCUGGGCCUUCUUGCUGUUGUUGUGGCCUUUUUUUGCCAACUUCAAUGGUCCUAGUCAGCAUAAUGCUUUGGGCUUUAUUAUCUUGUCAGUCACUACCUCCUAAAGAAAAAAAAAAA